GCCAGCGUGGCGGAGUGGUUUCGGUGCUGGACCACGACUCUGGAGACCAGGGUUCGAAUCCUGGCUCAGUCA